UUAAAUUUGGAUAAUAUAAUUGCAUGUUCUAAUAGCUAAACUUUAAAUUAAAAAGUUGAAACGAUCUAUUCAUAUACAUUGUGAAUUAAUUAAUAUAAAUUGAAAUAAUAUGCAUUGUAAUUUAGCACCGAACACGUGAUGUAUUACACGUACACAAGUUGCGUAUGACGUCAGCGCAUGACACACGGAAGUGUGCGAGACGCGCUGAACGCGAGAUGAGAGAUGCGCUGAACACGAGAUGAGUGAUGCAGAAAUGGAUUAAUAAGAAUGGUGAUUGCUGAUUUGAGUGCAGAUGCUAGCCGAUUGUGAAGCUUCUUUGAAUCUGAAACGGGUGUUUAAAAAAAACCUGUGAAACUCGGGAUUUGGUCAGGUUUACUGCUUCAUUGGAAAAAUUCUCUCAUGGAUUUGAGAUGGCGAGCCACCCAAAAUUGAAUGCUGAUUUCUGAGCCUGGGGAAAAGACAUUUUUGCUGUAUCACAAGGUUUUCGUUGCGCCAGAGACAUCAAUUUCUUCAGUUAGGAGGAC